UACGUAGGGGGCAAGCGUUGUCCGGAGUUACUGGGCGUAAAGCGCACGCAGGCGGUCGAUUAAGUUUGGAGUGACAGUUGGUGGCUUAACUGCCAAAGUGCUUCGAAAACUGAUCGACUUGAGGGCUUCAGAGGGACACGGAAUUCCGGGUGGAGUGGUGAAAUGCGUAGAGAUCCGGAGGAAGACCGGUGGCGAAGGCGGUCUGCUGGGCAGUUUCUGACACUGAGGCGCGACAGCGUGGGGAGCAAACAGG
rnacentral:rRNA from 1 species